rnacentral:SRP_RNA from 1 species
GCCAGGCGCCGUGGCACAUGUCUGUAGUCCCAGCUACUCCGGAGGCUGAAGUGGGAGAUGACUUGAGCCCAGGAGUUCUGGGCUGUAGUGCGCUAUGCCGAUUGGGUGUCUGCACUAAAUUCAGCAUCAAUAUGGUGACCUCCCGGGAGCGGGAAACCACCAUGUUGCCUAAGGAGGGAUGAACUGGCUCAGGUCUGAAACGGAGCAGGUCAAAACUCCUCUGCUGAUCAGCAGUAGGAUUGCACCUGUGAAUAGUCACUGCACUCCAGCCUGGGCAACAUUAGCAAGACCCGUCUCU